AUGAUCACUGUCGUCGUCUCCUCCAUGGAGGAAGAGGAAGAGGGUGGGGGAGGGGGACGGGGGAGGGCAGCGCCCGGAGCCGUGUGCGCGUGGCCGUGGCGCCGGAGCGGCGAAGGAGGGGUAGGGUGGUGCUCGCCGCGGCCAGAGGGCGACCUCGUCACUGGGCUCCCCGGGCAACCAGAGGUCGGGUUCAAGCACUACGCAGGCUACGUCGACGUCGGAACGGGCGGCGACAAGGCGCUCUUCUAUUGGUUCUUCGAGGCCGAGAAGGGGCCGGAGAAGAAGCCCCUCAUGCUGUGGGAUAUGGCUCAACGGAGGUUUUUUGUUUUCGUCACUCCUUUGUUAUAUGGAAGAAGACUUCAUGGCACUCAGGAAGGUGCCAAGGAGAUGCUGGACCAAGGCGUGGAGGCAUUGCAAGCUGAAGAGCACAUAGCUGCAGAUGCUGGAGGCCGGGCCGGUGAGCCGAGGAUUGGAGGUAGCGCUGAUUGGUGUUUUUAUGGAGAGAUAGGAUGCCCCUGUUUGGUGUUUUUAUGCAUUUUGGUUUGCUUGUAA
rnacentral:rRNA from 1 species